rnacentral:tRNA from 1 species
GGGCAUGUAGCGUAGGGGUUAUCGCGUUCGCUUUGCAAGUUAUGGCAUCUAGUAAACUCUCAUUGCGAAAGGUCUCCGGUUCAAAUCCGGACUUGUCCA